ensembl:misc_RNA 7SK 7SK RNA
GGAUAUGAGGGCUAUCUGGCUGUGACAUCUGUCACACCACUGAUCACCAGGGUGGAUCUGAUUGAUCUGGUUGCCAAGGCGCAGUCCCCUUCUUCUCUCAUUGUUCCUUGUGCAUCCCUCCCAAAGCUGUGUGCUCCCUUGAAAAGAAUGACCUUCCUAGAUAGAGGAAGGCCAUUCUUUGGUCAAGGGUAUGUAAGUAGCUGUGUUCCCCUAUUAGAACCUCCAAAGAAGCUCUCAAGGUCCAUAACGCAGCUUAUGGUAAAUCAGAUAGGAUGAAGAUAAAAAAUUAUUUAGUUUCUUU